rnacentral:rRNA from 3 species
GGUUAAGCGACUAAGCGUACACGGUGGAUGCCCUGGCAGUCAGAGGCGAUGAAGGGCGUGCUAAUCUGCGAUAAGCGCCGGUAAGGUGAUAUGAACCGUUAUAACCGGCGAUACCCGAAUGGGGAAACCCAGUGUGAUUCGUCACACUAUCAUUAACUGAAUCCAUAGGUUAAUGAGGCGAACCGGGGGAACUGAAACAUCUAAGUACCCCGAGGAAAAGAAAUCAACCGAGAUUCCCCCAGUAGCGGCGAGCGAACGGGGAGGAGCCCAGAGCCUGAAUCAGCAUGUGUGUUAGUGGAAGCGUCUGGAAAGGCGCGCGAUACAGGGUGACAGCCCCGUACACAAAAGCGCAUAUGCUGUGAGCUCGAUGAGUAGGGCGGGACACGUGGUAUCCUGUCUGAAUAUGGGGGGACCAUCCUCCAAGGCUAAAUACUCCUGACUGACCGAUAGUGAACCAGUACCGUGAGGGAAAGGCGAAAAGAACCCCGGCGAGGGGAGUGAAAAAGAACCUGAAACCGUGUACGUACAAGCAGUGGGAGCCCCACCACUAAGCCAGUGGUGAACUCCACAUACGCAUCCUUUGCUGAGGAGACGGUUAACGGAGCGAAAGCGACGUUCAACCUCAAAAGAAGCAGAGGGGGCUUAGUGGUGGGGUGACUGCGUACCUUUUGUAUAAUGGGUCAGCGACUUAUAUUCUGUAGCAAGGUUAACUGUAUAGGGGAGCCGGAGGGAAACCGAGUCUUAACCGGGCGUUAAGUUGCAGGGUAUAGACCCGAAACCCGGUGAUCUAGCCAUGGGCAGGUUGAAGGUUGGGUAACACUAACUGGAGGACCGAACCGACUAAUGUUGAAAAAUUAGCGGAUGACCUGUGGCUGGGGGUGAAAGGCCAAUCAAACCGGGAGAUAGCUGGUUCUCCCCGAAAGCUAUUUAGGUAGCGCCUCGUGAAUUCAUCUCCGGGGGUAGAGCACUGUUUCGGCUAGGGGGCCAUCCCGGCUUACCAACCCGAUGCAAACUGCGAAUACCGGAGAAUGUUAUCACGGGAGACACACGGCGGGUGCUAAUGUCCGUCGUGAAGAGGGAAACAACCCAGAC